UGUCAAGGGAUGGGAAUCGAACCCACACCUUCUGCUUACCGGGCAGAUGCCAUGACCACUAGGCUACCCUGGAC
rnacentral:tRNA from 1 species